GAAUCCCACUCGGUAGCCGCUGCCCUGGCAGUAACCUGGGACAAGGAAGCAAAGACGGAUCGUUACAUGCAUAAGCACACAAAUAUUUUAAAAGCGCCCUGAUCCGUGAAGCGUUCGGAAGCCUGGCGCUUUUCUUCAGCCUGUCGGAAACCAGGAGCAGCACUGCAAGACUUCAGUCUGGGCUUGAAUCGUCUUCCAAACCAACAAAGAAAGCCUGCCGACUGCUGCUGAAGCUACCGAUCUGUGACAACAUCUCUAACUUGGGGACAAUUCAGCCUCUCCGUGCCGGUGUGCGAUGGCAGGCAGGACAGCAUGCCCCAAGGACACUGCAGCCCCCCUUGCUGCCAGGCGCUGGCAGAGCUGCUCCACAAACAGCAUCGUUAGGAAGCUGCAGGGGAAGGAGGGGACACAGCUGGGGCUUCAGGCCCAUCUGGAAAGACUAUUCUGGGAAGACGCAGCUGAGGAGACCUACUGCAGCUCUUCACUGGCAACAGCUGAUCAAAGGAAGGGCACCAGUAGCAAAUGCUGCAUUUUAACGAGUGAUUUCAGAGUUAGAGAUGGAUUUUCCUAAAAUAACACCAUACAUCAUCUUUCCUGCGUGUGAUAAAAACCAGCAGCCUGGGAGAAGCCAAGAGGGAGUUGAGCAGAGCAGACCUUAACCCCUAAUUCCCAUUCCCACCGAGGACCAGCAAACCCCCUCAGCGCCCGCUCCGGCUGCACUGCAGAGACCCAGCAAAGUCACUGCAGCGCUAAGGCAGGCGCUGCCCCCUCUAACCCAGCAGCGCAGCUAUCGCGGCCAGGCGGAAAAGAAGUUUUUCCGAGGCCAGCAGGGCCUGCAGGUACAUACCUAGCAGCCAGCCCACAGACAACACCCCCAUCUCUGCAGGGUAAUGCGCAUUAGUACACACCGCUUGAGGAAGACGCUUGCUUUAAGGCUCAGCUCAGUUUCCAUUUGUCUCAUUAGGCUUCACUGCCAGUUUUCCUUUGAAUGCUGGCUUAUUAUUUCAGUCCAGUUUAGUUAUCCCUGCUGUCAACUCUAAUUUAGAGCAGUACCAAGGAGCAGCCCAUUCGACAAAGCGAGCCCUGUGCUGCCAGCAGCACCGGCCUGAGCCGCGUGCCAAGGAGCCGCGGGGAGACCUGCGGAGCAGGCGGCAGCACGGCAUCGGCGAGCCGCGGCUUGCAACGCUCCCCGCCCAAGACGCAGUAAUAGAUUCCCCUCGCUCUGUGCGUUAGGGCUCAGAAACAGCUCCCGCAAGGAGGGAGGACAGAGAAGAGGAAAAACACGAAGCUGAAACGAGAGACUAGAAAUCAUGGGUUGGGCACUUGGCGGGAGCUGACGCAAGGGCCCCGGGAGAGGAUGUAACAGCGCUGGCGCUGCCUCGGGGCGCCUUCAGGCCUGGACGUGCCGUAAGUCGCUAAAUCGGAACGUCCCAAGCGGUCCCAGCAGACAGCUCCAGCAGCGGUCACGUCCACUCGCCACAACGCCCGGCUCUCGCGGAUGGCACCAUGCCCUGAUCACUGCCACCAGGGAAUAGUCCUCGUUUAAACAACACAGCAAACUGGUUAACGUAAGACUAUCGCACAGGGAUAAUGGUCCUUCAUCCGGGUUAACAACGAGGCCGUUAUGCCUUCUUUAAAAAUGAAAGACAUUCAGGAUUUAAAGUACUCAUUCUAAGUAAAACAGCGUGUUCCCAGGCAUGAAGAACAACGUGGGGGACGUUCGAGUCCCCCCCGUCCCCCAGCUGGACCUCUUGUACUAGCAGCUCCCAAACUGCAAGGUGUUGCAGAUAAGGAUGUCAGCAUCUAAUCCAAAGGGAUAUUCACAAUACCCAACCGCACAUACCUAAUCUAAGGUAUUAUUACACAGUUAUCGGGGAGAGAUCUGCUCCUCUGGAGGACCAGUAGGUGCCCUGAGUUGCUAGAGGAGCAUCUCCACACCGAACACGCAGGGAGCCUAUGGAGCCUGCGGGCUGCAGCACAUGUAGUCACUGGCUCAUUUGAAGACUAGAGAGUAUCAGAGGCGCUGGGGAUUCCUGGGUUUCAUCGUCUACAGCUCUCUCCAGUACACCUCAACCUCCAGCGGCUUCAGCAUCUUCCUCUGCAAAAGUGGAAGCACCUCACAGCAAUAUGAUUUUCAACGCUAGAAAAGCAGGCUGCCGGACAGGGGGCACCAGGGCUUUGGCUGAGCACCACCAAAAUUGCUUGUAGAGCCUUCACUAGAAGACUGAAACGUAUCCAUACUUUUUUUUUCUUUUUUAUCCCUCACAAAAAAAUUCUCAAUUUUCUUUAAAAUGUUUUUGAAAUAAACAAGAAAUUUCAGAGUGCUCUGGUAAAAUUCCUAGGUGUUCUUUGGAAGAAUAACUCAUAAUUGCCACCCAAACACCCUGUGAGCAAAAACUGCUUGAUGAAAAGACUGCUUUCCAGCAAGAAGUUGCAUCUUGUGCAUUUUGACUAUUAAACGCAAUAUUAAAUGCAAUUUACCCCAAGCCCACUUGCAGCCCAAUAUUAUGUGUUUGCCACCGCCCAUCGGUUUGCCACCACCCCCAGCCUCAGCCAGGGUGAGCCCUGACCCAG